AAUGAACGUUGGCGGCAUGGAUUAGGCAUGCAAGUCGAGCGAGAAGUGUAGCAAUACACGGAAAGCGGCGGAAGGGAGAGUAAUACGUGGGAAUCUGCCCUUAGACCAGGGAUAGCAACGGGAAACUGCUGGUAAUACCAGUUAAUGUCUAUGGACCAAAGGUGUGAUUCCGUCUAGGGAUGAGCCCACGUCCUAUUAGCUAGUUGGUAGGGUAAUGGCCUACCAAGGCGAUGAUGGGUAGCGGGUGUGAGAGCAUGACCCGCCUCACUGGGACUGAGACACUGCCCAGACACCUACGGGUGGCUGCAGUCGAGAAUCUUCGGCAAUGGGCGCAAGCCUGACCGAGCGAUGCCGCGUGCGGGAUGAAGGCCUUCGGGUUGUAAACCGCUGUCGAGGGGGAGCAACUUCCAUAGAGUUAUCUUUAUGGAUUGAGUGAUCCCUGGAGGAAGGACGGGCUAAGUUCGUGCCAGCCGCCGCCGUAAGAC
rnacentral:rRNA from 1 species